GGCUCUGAGCCAGGCUGUGCGUGCAGAGAUCAGCCAGGAGACCGCGGUGAACCCCGUGGACAUCGUCAGCACCCUGCAGGCCCUGCAGAUGCUCAAGUACUGGAAGGGCAAACACCUGGUCCUCAAGAGGCAGGACCUGAUCGACGAGUGGAUCGCCAAGGAGGCCAAGAGAUCCAACAGCAACAAGACCAUGGAUCCCAGCUGCCUCAAGUGGACCCCUCCCAAGGGCACCUAAGCGUCCCCAGGGCCGGGCCCGGUGCCGCCCUGCCCGGCGUCCCCACAGUUCUGAGGAACUCGGAUGUUUCGGCCUCAGUGAGGCCGUGUGAGGACUGGAAGUGUCUGGGAGCCCCAGGGAGCCGAGGAGCUCCGAUUGCUGGGCCUGUCCCUGCUGUCCCUGCUGUCCUGCUCCAUCCUCCCGUCCCUCCUGCAGCUCAGCCGGCUGCCAGCGCUUCCCUGGAGCUGCUCCCGUCCCGUUCCACAUCCCAGAUAGCUUUAGUGGGAUCGUCUCCCCCCUCCUGCAGCAGUUUGCCCUGGGAUCCAGCAGAUCUUCGCUUAGUUCCUGUUGUACAGCCAGAAUUGCAGCCGAGGCAGGGGCGGGGUGUUCCCGUCACCCCCUCCCGGAGCCACCACAGCCCUGCUGGAAGCACCUCUGGAUCAGAAUUGCUGUUUUUUCCUGGUGUGUAUCCCCUGGAAUUGCUGAGUUCCUGUACAUAAACAGCCUGCUGAGUGUGUUUCCCUGCA